rnacentral:rRNA from 1 species
GAUGAACGCUGGCGGCGUGCUUAACACAUGCAAGUCGAACGGGAAUUACUUUAUUGAAACUUCGGUCGAUAUGAUUUAAUUCUAGUGGCGGACGGGUGAGUAACGCGUGGGUAACCUGCCUUAUACAGGGGAGUAACAGUCAGAAAUGACUGCUAAUACCGCAUAAGCGCACAGAGCUGCAUGGCUCGGUGUGAAAAAACUCCGGUGGUAUAAGAUGGACCCGCGUUGGAUUAGCUAGUUGGUGAGGUAACGGCCCACCAAGGACGACGAUCCAUAGCCGGCCUGAGAGGGUGAACGGCCACAUUGGGACUGAGACACGGCCCAGACUCCUACGGGAGGCAGCAGUGGGGAAUAUUGCACAAUGGGGGAAACCCGUGAUGCAGCGACGCCGCGUGAAGGAAGAAGU